CCUACGGGCGGCAGCAGUGGGGAAUAUUGCACAAUGGGGGGAACCCUGAUGCAGCAACGCCGCGUGAGUGAAGAAGUAUUUCGGUAUGUAAAGCUCUAUCAGCAGGGAAGAAGAUGACGGUACCUGAGUAAGAAGCACCGGCUAACGACGUGCCAGCAGCCGCGGUAAUACGUAGGGGGAAAGAGUUAUCCGGAUUUACCGGGUGUAAAGGGAGCGUAGACGGCGAGGCAAGUCUGGAGUGAAAGCCCGGGGCUCAACCGCGGGACUGCUGUUGAAACUGCCUGGCUGGAGUGCUGGAGAGGCAAGCGGAAUUCCUAGUGUAGCGGUGAAAUGCGUAGAUAUUAGGAAGAACACCAGUGGCGAAGGCGGCUUGCUGGACAGUAACUGACGUUGAGGCGCGAAAGCGUGGGGAGCAAACAGGAUUAGAUACCCCUGUAGUC
rnacentral:rRNA from 1 species